rnacentral:rRNA from 1 species
AUUGAACGCUGGCGGCAGGCCUAACACAUGCAAGUCGAGCGCGAAAGUCUUCGGAUGAGUAAAGCGGCGAACGGGUGAGUAAUGCAUGGGAAUCUGCCUGGUAGUGGGGGACAACGUCUCGAAAGGGACGCUAAUACCGCAUACGCCCUACGGGGAAAGGGGGGGAGUCUGCGGACCUCUCGCUAUCAGAUGAGCCCAUGUCAGAUUAGCUAGUUGGUAGGGUAAAGGCCUACCAAGGCGACGAUCUGUAACUGGUCUGAGAGGAUGAUCAGUCACACUGGAACUGAGACACGGUCCAGACUCCUACGGGAGGCAGCAGUGGGGAAUAUUGGACAAUGGGCGCAAGCCUGAUCCAGCCAUGCCGCGUGUGUGAAGAAGGCCCUUGGGUUGUAAAGCACUUUCAGUGGGGAGAAAGGUCUGGAACCUAAUACGUUUUGGAAUUGAUGUUACCCACAGAAGAAGCACCGGCUAACUCCGUGCCAGCAGCCGCGGUAAU